UUAAUGCGGCGGCGGUGGCUGGAAGGGGAGAAGCGGGGUCUUGGAUUCUUCUGCAGGUUUCCAUGCCUCGGUGCUCCUGUUCGUCCCUUCGUUCCACCGAAUGGGGCUCGAAAUGGACGGAUCUGGAGGUGCCUCCCAUCGGUCCCCAUGCUCUGAGUUAAUGCUCUGGUGAGUUCAAAUCUUUACGCAGGGAUCCCUGCAGCCCCCACCCCCCCCGCUCUGGCUGGUCUCAUUCAUUCGUUUGUCGAACUCGUGGCGACUGCGGUCGUUUCGUCGCUCUCCCAACGGAGACAGGACACGUCGUCCGUCACCUGGCGGAAUAGUCGACGAACCUGUCGCCCCGACUCACUCAUCUCCAGCAGGAUGCCGGAAGGCUGACUGCAAGAACGCCAGUCGCCAGUUUCUUCCUUGCUUCUUCUGCUCCAGGUUUUGCGCGCUCCUGAGUUUUCCCGCUCAGUAAAUCCAAUUUGAAUGUAGGGUGAGAUGAACGGAACAAUCUCGACUGGGGCAGUUUCGUCAAAGCUAGAGAACGGCUCCGAUCACGCGCACUUUGUUUGCAGGCAUGAAUGCGAUCCUCUUGUUACUUCUGAAUUCGAUAUUUCUCUCUUCAUGAACCAUAUUUGCGCACCUACCCUUAAACCCCCCCC
rnacentral:lncRNA from 1 species